GGAGGGGUGCCCGAGUGGUUUAUGGGGCUGGUCUUGAAAACCAGUGUGGUCUUUUUGGGCCACCGGGGGUUCGAAUCCCUCCCCCUCCG
rnacentral:tRNA from 1 species